CCAGACUCCUACGGAGGCAGCAGUGGGGAAUCUUCCGCAAUGGACGAAAGUCUGACGGAGCAACGCCGCGUGAGUGAUGACGGCCUUCGGGUUGUAAAGCUCUGUUAAUCGGGACGAAAGGCCUUCUUGCGAAUAGUGAGAAGGAUUGACGGUACCGGAAUAGAAAGCCACGGCUAACUACGUGCCAGCAGCCGCGGUAAUACGUAGGUGGCAAGCGUUGUCCGGAAUUAUUGGGCGUAAAGCGCGCGCAGGCGGAUAGGUCAGUCUGUCUUAAAAGUUCGGGGCUUAACCCCGUGAUGGGAUGGAAACUGCCAAUCUAGAGUAUCGGAGAGGAAAGUGGAAUUCCUAGUGUAGCGGUGAAAUGCGUAGAUAUUAGGAAGAACACCAGUGGCGAAGGCGACUUUCUGGACGAAAACUGACGCUGAGGCGCGAAAGCCAGGGGAGCGAACGGGAUUAGAUACCCCGGUAGUCCUGGCCGUAAACGAUGGGUACUAGGUGUAGGAGGUAUCGACCCCUUCUGUGCCGGAGUUAACGCAAUAAGUACCCCGCCUGGGGAGUACGACCGCAAGGUUGAA
rnacentral:rRNA from 1 species